UACGGAGGAUGCAAGCGUUAUCCGGAAUGAUUGGGCGUAAAGCGUCCGCAGGUGGCAAUGUAAGUCUGCUGUCAAAGCGUCUGGCUCAACCAGAUAAAGGCAGUGGAAACUACAUAGCUAGAGUAAGGUAGGGGUAGAGGGAAUUCCUGGUGUAGCGGUGAAAUGCGUAGAGAUCAGGAAGAACACCCGUGGCGAAGGCGGCUCUCUGGGACGGUACUGACGCUGAGACGCGAAAGCGUGGGGAGCGAACAGG
rnacentral:rRNA from 1 species